AUGGUUCAAGUCUUAUAAAUGGCUUGAGUAUAGUAAAGAGCUAGAUGCUGCUUUCUGCUUUGUAUGUUAUCUUUUCAAGGAUAAUUCACAUGUUGGUGGGGAUUGCUUUGUGAAUGGAGGAUUUAGAAAUUGGAAUCACAAGGCUAGUUUUGGGAAACAUGUUGGUGGGAUCAAUAGUGCACACAACAAAGCACAAGAGAAAUACAAUUUCUUCAUUGCACCCAAAACAACAAUCGUAGAGUCAUUUUCUUCAACCACCAAACAAGACAAGGUUCUAUAUAUAGCUCGCUUGACAUAUUCUCUUAAAUGCCUGAGGUUUCUUUUGGGUCAAGGGUUAGCUUUUCGUGGACAUGAUGAAAGAGAAGUUUCACUUAAUAAAGGUAAUUUCCUUGAGCUUCUACAUUGGCUAGCAGAGAAUUUUGAAGAAGUGAAUAAGGUGGUUCUUAAGAAUGCUCCAAAGAACAACAAAAUGAUAGCUCAUGAAAUACAAACAGACCUCAUCAACUCUUGUGCCAAAGAAACUACUAGGCUUAUGAUGGAAGAGCUAGGUGAUAGUUGUUUCUCAAUACUUGCCGAUGAAUCAAGUGAUGUGUAUCUACAAGAACAAUUGGCUCUUUGUCUGCGUUAUGUUGAUAAAAUCGGAAGGGUGGUUGAGAGGUUUCUUGGUAUUUUACAUGUUGCAAACACCACAUCUUUGACACUCAAAACAGCAAUUGAGAGUUUGCUUAUGGAACAUGGUUUGACCUUCUCUAGAGUACGUGGGCAAGGGUACGAUGGUGCUAGCAACAUGAAGGGUCAUGUCAAUGGUCUAAAGAAACUAAUUAUGGAUGAGUCCCCUUCUGCCUAUUAUGUGCAUUGUUUUGCUCAUCAACUUCAGUUAUCUCUAGUUGCUGUUGCUAAGGAGAACCGUGAUUGUGUUUUGUUCUUUCAACAACUUGCUAAUCUAUUGAAUGUUCUUGGGAUGUCUUGUAAGAAGAUUAGAAUGCUUCGUGUGGCUCAAGCUGAACGGAUCAUUAAAGCAUUGGAAUUGGAGGAAAUUGAAACCGGUAAAGGCAUGAAUCAAGAGAUGGGUUUGAGUAGGCCGGGUGACACUCGUUGGGGAACUCACCACAAAACUAUUAUGCAUAUUCUUCGCAUGUAUCCUUCAAUCCGGCUAGUUCUUAACAAGUUAGUAAGAGACCCAACUCAAAGCAAUGAGGCUAUGCUUGCUGAAACUAUGUUGACAUAUUUUGAGUCAUUUGACUUUGUUUUCAUGGCACACUUGUUGCAAACCAUAUUUGGGCACACCAAUGACUUAAGUCGUGCUUUGCAAAAGAAAGAUCAAGACAUUGUUAAUGCUGUUGAACUCAUUCAUUUGACAAAGAUUCAAUUGCAAUUGUUGAGAGAUGAUGGUGGAUGGGAAACUUUCCUUGAAGAGGUCACUUCUUAUUGUGUCAAGCAUAAAGUCAAAGUUCCUCAAAUGAAUGGUAAGUACAAGCCACCUGGAAGACCCUCAAGAUUCUACAAAAAUCUCACGAAUCUCCAUCGCUUCCAUGUUGAGAUGUUUUUGGGUCUUAUUGAUAGGCAACUUCGAGAGCUUGGAGAUAGAUUUGAUGAGGUAAACACUGAAUUACUUCAUUACAUGGGAUCAUUCAGUCCGGUAAAUUCUUUUGCUACUUAUCAUAAGGAAAACUUGGUUAAGCUUGCGCAUCUUUAUCCCUUGGAUUUCACGGAGGAAGAUCUGAUGCAUAUUCCUUAUCAACUUACACACUUCAUUACUGAUAUGCGUAUAGAUGAGAGGUUUAGAAAGGUCAAAAACAUAGUCGACCUUUCUAUUAUGCUUGUCGAGACAAACAAGAGUGUCACUUAUAACCUUGUUUACAAGCUUUUCAAAUUGGUUCUAAUCCUACCAGUAGCAACAGCUAGUGUUGAGAGAGUGUUCUCUUCAAUGACUUAUGUGAAAAACAAGCUACAGAAUAAAAUGGGGAAUCAACUCUUGAAUGAUUGCUUGGUUACAUUUAUUGAGAGGGAAUUCUUUUUUGAAGUGAAGGAUGAUGUUGUCAUUUCUCGUUUUCAAGCCAUGACAAAGCGUAUGGUCGAGUUGUAAUUUUCUUAUCUAUUUUGUAAUUUCCUUAAUCUGUAUUGCUGUUGCUGUGAACGAAUUGGCUCCUCUGUUAAGGCCGAUCCAGAAUUGACUCAUCUGUUUCAGUUGCUUGCUUCUGCUUUUAUUGAUACAGAUGUUGUUGCUACUGACCAAUUUGUAUUGCUGUGAACGAAUUGGCUCCUCUGUUAGUGUGAAAAAAAAAAUUUGAACACCCAAUUCUAAAUUCCUGGAUCCGCCACUGGUCCCUCGAUCGAAAUUCCUGAUCAGACCGGAUUGCGGCGGCGCCACGACAGGUUGCCGGCCUGCAGUCCUCCUCACGGGACAAGCUGCGUUCGCGGUGCGCUCUCGCUGCCUGCCGGCUUCGACGGUGUGAGCCGGGGCGCCGCCCUUCCCCAAAUCCGCAAUCGAGUCGUGCGUCCGAUCUGCCGCCUCCCCUCGACGUCCACGGCUCUGUGCUCUUCUGUGUUCUCUCCUAGCGCAGGCUGUGGGGGCGCUACGCCGCCAUCUGCCGGCUCCUCAUACAAGAGCGAUGGACAAACUGAGCCCUGUGGGAAACAAUCGCAUCAGCUCAGCGACGUCCAGCGUUUCUCCUCUCGUGUUUCUUUGCACGCCUCAUCUCCAAGCACGAAGCCACGACGAGAUUGAGGGUGCAAGGCUCAAGGGAAGCAGCUGGUUCUGUAGUUCUUUGUAUGCUUAUGGUAUCUUGGAUGAGGGUUACAAAUUCAACUUGUCAGUUGAGGAAGCUGCUGAGUUAGCAUGGCGGGCUUUUAUCACGCAAUAUUCUGUGACAGAGCUAGUGGUGGCUGUGUUCCUGGUGUCCAGCAAUCAGCAAGUUGAAAAGAUUUAAAUCAAGGUUCCAUGAUAAUUCUUUUGAAUCUCCCUGUAAGGGCUUGACAGACCAGUUUUUAUCCGGAAGAAAGGCCUUUAGCGUGCGUUUGGAUCUGAAGAAACAAAGCAAGAUAUGGCUGUCUUUCCUCCUAACUUGGCUAGUUACUAGUAUCUCCUUGAUCCUUUGAUAAGAUGCGCUGAACAUAUUCAAGGUUUCUAGCGGGAAUCACUUCUUCAUGGCCAUUCUGGUGAUAAUGGUUGUACUACAGGUGCUGAUGGUCCAAGAAUUGUAAAGACUAGCUAAUUCCCCGCGCGUUGCUGCGGAACAUUUGCUCAACCAAUUGAAGAGAUGCACAUAGAGCAAAACAAUGUAAAAUUUUGACAAACAGCCAUAAACAAUUGUAUUGGCCAUUCACUAUUUUUAUCUUUUGCACCUAAAAUCCUAACAUGUUUGUCCUAAAAAUCACAUUAUCCAGUUAAAAGUCGUCUGGGAUUACUACCGAUUAAUAUGUAGUAAUGUGGCUGUCCCAAUAAAUAGUAGAAUGUUCGAACCUUC